rnacentral:rRNA from 1 species
UGGGCGUAAGAGCUCGUAGGCGGUUUGUCGCGUCUGCCGUGAAAGUCCGGGGCUCAACUCCGGAUCUGCGGUGGGUACGGGCAGACUAGAGUGAUGUAGGGGAGACUGAAAUUCCUGGUGUAGCGGUGAAAUGCGCAGAUAUCAGGAGGAACACCGAUGGCGAAGGCAGGUCUCUGGGCAUUAACUGACGCUGAGGAGCGAAAGCAUGGGGAGCGAACAGGAUUAGAUACCCUGGUAGUCCAUGCCGUAAACGUUGGGCACUAGGUGUGGGGGACAUUCCACGUUUUCCGCGCCGUAGCUAACGCAUUAAGUGCCCCGCCUGGGGAGUACGGCCGCAAGGCUAAAACUCAAAGGAAUUGACGGGGGCCCGCACAAGCGGCGGAGCAUGCGGAUUAAUUCGAUGCAACGCGAAGAACCUUACCAAGGCUUGACAUGAACCGGAAACACCUGGAAACAGGUGCCCCGCUUGCGGUCGGUUUACAGGUGGUGCAUGGUUGUCGUCAGCUCGUGUCGUGAGAUGUUGGGUUAAGUCCCGCAACGAGCGCAACCCUCGUUCUAUGUUGCCAGCGCGUGAUGGCGGGGACUCAUAGGAGACUGCCGGGGUCAACUCGGAGGAAGGUGGGGACGACGUCAAAUCAUCAUGCCCCUUAUGUCUUGGGCUUCACGCAUGCUACAAUGGCCGGUACAAAGGGUUGCGAUACUGUGAGGUGGAGCUAAUCCCAAAAAGCCGGUCUCAGUUCGGAUU